CCAAUAGCGUAUAUUAAAGUUGUUGCAGUUAAAAAGCUCGUAGUUGAAUUUCGGGGUUAGUAGAUUGGUCAUGCCACUGGUAUGUACUGGUCUCACUGAUUCCUCCUUCCUGAUGAGCCGUAAUGCCAUUAAUUUGGUGUUGCGAGGAAUCUGGACUGUUACUUUGAAAAAAUUAGAGUGUUUAAAGCGGGCAUUUUUGCUUGAAUACGUUAGCAUGGAAUAAUAAAAUAGGACGAUGGUUCUAUUUUGUUGGUUUCUAGGAUCACCGUAAUGAUUAAUAGGGAUAGUUGGGGGCAUUAGUAUUCAAUUGUCAGAGGUGAAAUUCUUGGAUUUAUUGAAGACUAACUACUGCGAAAGCAUUUGCCAAGGAUGUUUUCAUUAAUCAAGAACGAAAGUUAGGGGAUCGAAGACGAUCAGAUACCGUCGUAGUCUUAACCAUAAACUAUGCCGACUAGGGAUCGGAUGAUGUUAAUUUUUUAAUGACUCAUUCGGCGCCUUACG
rnacentral:rRNA from 1 species